GGUGCUUUUGAAUUUUUUAUCUGAUUUACUGUGAUACACAGGAAGAAGCAUUAUCAAUCAAGCAAAAAAUAAAUAAGGAAAUGCAUAAAUAAAUAAAAAUAAAUGGAUGAGUUUUUGAUAAGCCAGGGCUUCAUGAAACUUUUUUUCUUUUUUGGGUAUAUCAAAUGGGAGAACAAGCGCCUACCAAUUUUUUGAAAUAGUUAGUGGUUUUCAAAUGCGUAAGUACGAAUGAAACCUAAACCAGUAACUGAGACUCCGGUGGUACUACCACCACGACCUCAACCCCAUUCCCAGGUCAUUAAACUGGAGAGGGCCUCACCUCAAAAUGGUGUACUAGAAAUUAGAUGCAACACUUGAGAACCUUGUGAUGUUCUACAGAUCAAUUGCUGCCCCUAGCUGUGGAUUUUGGAACUCCAAAAAAUAGUGCAAAUCU
rnacentral:lncRNA from 1 species